UGAUGGAAAAAAUUUCAAUUCCGUGGAAGACUGUAAAAGGCACCAGGAACAGUUCUUUGCUCAAAAAGAUAAAAAGUUUUGGGAAGACAGAAUUAUGAGGUUGCCUGAAAAAGGGCAGAAGCUAGUGAAACAAAAGGGUGAAUACGUUGUUCAAUAAAGUUCUUGGUGAAAAUGAAAAAUGUGUGUUUUAUUUUUAUUUAAAAACUGAAGGCACUUUUUGGCCAACCCAGUACAUUUAUCUUUUUGAAGAAAGGUCAAAGUAUUGUUCACGUAGGCUGCACCAUUUUACAUUUCCACAAUGUUUAAAAGUUCCAUUUGCUCUACAUCGUUGCCAAUAUUCAUUAUUUUUAAUUUUUCUUGACUAUAACAAUUGUGUGUUUGAAGGGGUAUUGCAUUACGGUACGAAUUUGCAUUUCCAUCAUGACUACUGAUGUUUGACAUCUUUUCAUGUCCUUGUUGACCAUUUGCAUGUCUUGUCUGGAGAAGAGUCUGAUCAAGUCCUUUGUGCAUUUUAAAAAUUGAGUUCUUUGUGUUUCUGUUGAUGAGUUUCUUGAUACGUUCUGGAUAACAGACUCUUAUUAGAUAUAUCAUGUGCAAAUAUUUUCUUCCAUUCUGUGGACUGUCUAACUUUCUGGAUAGCAGUUUUGAUGUGAUAAAAUUAUUAACUUUGAGGAAAUCCAGUGUAUCUAUAUUUUAUUCAUUGCUUAAGCUUUGAUGUCAGAUCGAAGAAACCACUGCUAAAUGCAAGGUCAUGAGGAUUUAUUCCCUUGGUUUAUUUUAGAGAUUAUAGAGUCAUCCCUUGGCAUCCACUUUGCUAAGGUUAAGGUCUGUGCUUAGAGUCAGUGUCAGGGUUUAGGGUGAUGGUUAAAGGGUCAGGGUCAGGGAUUAGAGUUGAGGUGUCAGGAUCGAGGGUCUAGGAUCCAAGGUUAGGAUUGUUAGGUUUAGGGUAAUAGGGUAAAGGGUUAGGAUGUUAGGGUUAGGGUGAGGGUUAGAGUUAGGUUAAAGGAUAACCUGUUCUCACCGUUCUUGUCUCUCUCCAUCUCUCUGAAGCCUCCAGGAUGGACAGGAUUCUCCCAAGGUCACACAUGAGUCAGUGGACUGUCAGUGAUACGGAAUCUGCCGCUUUUGCCGAGCCAGCAUCUGUCUUCAUGACCAGCUGCAGCACCUCAGCUUUCCUUUUGGAACUACAUCUCAGCUGCUUCCAGUCCAAACAGUUUCAGGGGGCUGACCUUAUAUUCCACCCACCUAGAAGAUGGCUGUAUGAUCCACAUCUAGCCAAUCCCAUUUUUCAUCCUCUGCUUGCUGUGAUCGGUUCAAGGGUGAGAAUGUGACCCAAGCCAGGCCAAAGGCAUUCAAAGUCAUGAGUUUCAUGGAACCCUAGGGAAGGAGAAACCCUUGCUGGUAGAAUGGAUGUUGUGUGGGUGUCAUAUUGGAGUUGCUGGUGGCUGUGGAUGCAGUGAGAGAGACUGUGCCGGUGAAUGGGACCACCCCAAGGCAUUCAGCGGGACUGAUUCAGCAGGACAUACUACAAGAACGUGAGCCAUUGGACCUGACAUCUCCAAACCCACUCUUCAACUUGUCUCUUUUCUGCCUGCAGGGAGCGCUGUCACCAGUGAACUGUGAGUGAGGCGCGGCCUGCAGUUCCGGGACUGUCCACAGGGGGGCCAAGCCCACCUCGCUGACCCACGGCGCAUGCGCAUUCCACCUGGGACUUGGCUCUGCGCGCCUGAAAGGAAUUCUGUUGCCUCAGGCACCCGCUUGGGCCUGGGAUGCCUCGCUGACAGCGUCUCUGCCAACAGGAGCUCAGUCUCCUUAGGGCUCGCUGGGGUUCAGCUUCAGAACAACACAGGACUGCGUCCAUGCAGACUGGAGCUGAGUUUCCUUACGACCGGGAGGAAAAGGUCAUCCACAACACGGAAGAAAGUGGCUCCUAAUAUAAUCUUCCCACAGUGCCUCUAAAUUACGUGUGGACUUUGGGUGAACUGGAUCUGGAUCCCAUCCAGGGCACCACAUAACAUGUAGUCAUCAUGUCUGUCUGGCCUUUGACAGUUUCUCAGACUCUCCUUGUUCUUUGUGGAGGAGGACUCGUCAGGUAUUUUGUAGACUGUCCCAUGUUGGGAUUUACGUGGUGUUUUUCUGUCACGAUUAGACUGGGUUUAUGGGUUUUGAGGAAGCAAAUCACAGAGGUCAAGUGCGUUCUCAUCAUUUUAGGUCAAAGGAACAGGCUCUCAAGGCAACUUAUCACCAUUCAUGUUAACUUUGGUCACGUGGCUGAGGUCCUGUUUGUCAGUUUUCCCUGCUGUGAAGUUAUUUUUCCCAUGUCCAUGCUGUGUAUCUUAUUUAGGAAGAACCCACACUUCAGAAGAGGGUUACCCUCCUCGAUGGCUGGCUGGCUGUGUGUCUACAUCAGUUAUUUGGAAUUCUUCUGCAUAGCACAUUUCUAUUCAACACAGUUCAUAAAAAGUGUUUGUAGUCAUUUUACUAGUGUGGACACCUGAAUAGUUUUUACACUUGUGGUUAUAAUUCAGCAGUACAGUACAGUAUUUGGGUGCUUAGUUCAUUCUUGCUUUGACUGUUGAGCGCUUUCUCCACUGUCUCAUGGAAUUACGUCAAAUGAAAACAUCUUGUGAGUCGUCCAUCCCCCCAGCCCCCUGCUGGUACUUCUUUACUUUGAUACUUUAAGAUUAUCCUGGCUCAUAUAUUUACUGAGUCCUAGUAGCAGCCAUUUCUUCAAAGAGCCCUGAUUCCUUUAAUUAGAGGAUGGUAUUAAAAACUUACGUUUGAAAGCUAAAUGUACUCAGCUGAUAACGCACUGAAAUACAUAUGCAUGUAUUCCAACCUGUGCAUAUACACCUAAUUAUAAAGAUUUCUAUGUGGAACUGUCUGUAUCCAUGUUAAACUAAAGAUGAAUUUAUAUAGAUGUCAUCACCCUGAUCCAUUAUUACAUGGAUAUUGUAACCUUCUCCCUUUGCUUAUCUGUAGCUUCCUAUUCCAAUGGUUAGAAACCUGGCUUCCAUUUUUUGAAUUCAUUGCUUGUUCCAUUCCAGAUUACAGAUACAGUGGCUUCAACAUUCUUAGCUCCUGCCUGCAGGGAAAGAACUUUGAGUCCACUGUUUGGGUACAGUACAUUUUGCAUUUAGUCUAGAGAUUCCAUUUACUUCCAGAAUUACUAAGGUCAGCACCUUUUGUCCCACUACCAACAGUGAGGUUUUCUCAUACAUUACUAAAUCAGUUUUUGUUAAAUUCUGUAAUGCAUCCUGUGGCACUCCCAUAUGCUAAAUAACUAAAAUUGAAUACAUUAUGAUUUAUUUGUUGGGCUGUAAAAGUUUCUGGGUUUAGACAAAUGCAUAGUGGCAGGUAUUCAUCACUGAAGUAUUGUAUGGAAUAUUUAAGUCCCCCACCCAUAACCUGUUUACCGUCUGUUUUACCUGUUUCCGAAUGUCAUAAAUGGGGUCAUACAGUGUUUAGCACUUCAGACUGGAUUCUUCUGCUUAGCAAUAUACAUGUAAGGUUCAUCUAUGUUUUUGCAUGGGUUGAGGGUUCACUCCUUUGCUAUACCAUUGUAUAUAUGGAAGGAAAAAUAAUUUUCCCUCUACCCUUCUUUGUUCUUCAUUGAGGUCCCCUCCUUACCCCCCAUAAAAAAUGAAAGGCAGAUGAACUGGAGACAAAUAAUCAGAAGUUUAAUAACAUAUGUACCUCCUAUAUGCAAGGGAGAUACUCAGGAACACUGAGUAAUGCCCUGAAAUGGCCCAAACCAUCACCUUAAAUACCAUCUUCAUCUAAAGACAAAAGAAAGGAAGGGUAUGGGUGUUGUGCAGAUUUAAGUAGUAGCUUUCUCCAUUGGUAGAGUUUCUUGAGAUUUAGUCAUCCUUCCUAUUCCUUGUAAUGGAAAGGGAGAUAACCUUUCAAAUGGAGAUUUCCCUUAUAAAUAUAUAUAUUUCCCUCACAAAAGGGCAAUCUUGACUUGGUUUUCAGAGAUUCUCAUGUUGUCUUCUUUUUAAAAAAAAAAUAAUAAUCAGCUCAAAAUAAUCCUUAUGCCAAGAGGCAUAUUGGGGUGGCAUAUUCCACUCCCCUUGAAAUGGAGGUACCCCAAUUUGCUUAUGCAUUCUUCUGCUGAAGAACAUCCUGGUUUCUUUAAGUUUAUAGCCAUUAUGAGUAGAAGUGCUGUGCUUAAUUACAUCCUUGUUUGCGUUUGGACAUAGUUCUGAAAAGCAGUUGUCUAAAUACUGGAGGCAGGAUGUUGGAUCCUGAGGUGAGUCUUAUUUAGCUUUGGAAAAAACUUCCAAAAUAUCUUUUAAAGUAGCUGUAUAUGCAUUUCACCAGCAGUAGAGGAGAGUUCCUGUUCACCUCCCAUCAAUCAGUAGUGGCUUUUUUUUGGAGUUUAUUAAUUCUAAUAGGUGUGCAGUGCUAUCUCUGUUUUCAUUUGUAAUUCCCUAAUGGUAUAUGAUGUUGGGCAUAUUCUUGUAUGCUUAUUUACUGUCUGUAUAAUCUUCUUUGGCCAGUGUCUGUUCUAAUCUUCACCCAUUUUUAAGGAGGUUUGUUCUAGAUUUUUUGGUGUAAUUUGAGUACAAAUCUUUUAUCAUGUUGCAAAUAAUUUUUCUUUCAGUUUGUGGCAUGUCUUUUGGUUUUCUGAAUAAGGUAUUUCAUGGAGUCUAAUGUUUUAAAUUUUUAAAGUCCAUGUUCAUUUUAUUUCUUUUGUGGAUAGGCUUUUGAGGUUUUGUGUUAAAAUCCAUCACCAAAUCCAAGGUAAUGUAGAUUUGCUUCUGUGUUUUCAUCUACAGUUUUUAUAGUUUUCCAUUUUAAAUUUGUCUGUGGACAAUUUUGAGUGAGUUUUGGUGUAGGCUGUAAAGUUUGUGUCUACAUUCUUUUGAUUGCAUAUGGUUUCCAAUUAUUCUGUAACUCUUUUUGGAGAAGUCAUGGGAUAUUUGGCUCCAUUUCAGUUUGAAUUUCCAAAUUUAGUGGUUUCUGCAGGCUUGCCAGCUUGGAGCAUGGGCUCCACUGAACUGAGAGGUUGUGGCCUGCACUUCCCAGUUGACCAGCAGGAGGUGGUACGCCCACCUUGCUGAUCCUUGAGGUGCAUAUGUGCUCCACUGAUGAACUUGGCUUGUGAAGGAACUUGGCUUCUCAUGCUGCUGAUUGAAGUUCAGUCUCUUCAGGAUCCGCCAUGGUUUCAGCAUUGGGACAACACUGUUGAGUCCAUGCAGGCAGGAACCAGAUGUCUUCAGGAACUGCCAGGAGGCACCACCAUGGGACGAAAAGCUUGUGAGAUCUUGGUUCCCAGGCCAGAAGUCGGGCCUGAGCUGCUGUGGUAAGAGCACAGAGUCCAAACUGCUUGACUACCAGAGAACCUCAGACCCCAGGGAAUAUUAAUCAGAGUGAGAUCUCCCAGAGGGUCCUCAUCUCAGCACCAAGACCCAGCUCUACCCAACUGCCU